rnacentral:rRNA from 1 species
UACGGGGGGGGCAAGCGUUGUUCGGAAUUACUGGGCGUAAAGGGCGCGUAGGCGGCUUUUCAAGUGACGGGUGAAAUCCCUCGGCUUAACCGAGGAACUGCCUGUCAGACUGGAAGGCUUGAGACCGGGAGAGGUGAGUGGAAUUCCCAGUGUAGCGGUGAAAAUGCGUAGAUAUUGGGAGGAACACCAGUGGCGAAGGCGGCUCACUGGACCGGAACUGACGCUGAGGCGCGAAAGCGUGGGGAGCAAACAGGG